rnacentral:rRNA from 1 species
UACGUAGGUGACUAGCGUUGUUCGGAUUUAUUGGGCGUAAAGGGUCCGCAGGGGGUCGGCUAAGUCUGAUGUGAAAUACCAAGGCUCAACCUUGGAACUGCAUUGGAAACUGGUCGGCUAGAGUAUCGGAGAGGAGAAUGGAAUUCCUGGUGUAGCGGUGGAAUGCGUAGAUAUCAGGAGGAACACCAAAGGCGAAGGCAGUUCUCUGGACGAUUACUGACCCUCAGGGACGAAAGCAUGGGGAU